rnacentral:rRNA from 1 species
AUACGGAGGGGGUUAGCGUUGUUCGGAAUUACUGGGCGUAAAGCGCACGUAGGCGGACUGGAAAGUUGGGGGUGAAAUCCCGGGGCUCAACCCCGGAACUGCCUCCAAAACUUCCAAUCUAGAGAUCGAGAGAGGUGAGUGGAAUUCCAAGUGUAGAGGUGAAAUUCGUAGAUAUUUGGAAGAACACCAGUGGCGAAGGCGGCUCACUGGCUCGAUACUGACGCUGAGGUGCGAAAGCGUGGGGAGCAAACAGGAUUAGAAACCCUAGUAGUCC